rnacentral:lncRNA from 1 species
ACGGCACCUUAACCGUUAAAUAUGUACAUAAACUUUCCCAAAUUUUUUUCAUCUAAGCUUUCGAUCACUAUUAUUACUAAUAUUAUCUUUCCCUAGCUAUUCUCUCUAAACAAUGGAGCUAUUUAAUUCCCCUGUAAUUCUAUUACUGCUGAUCAUCAUCUCCUCCCAUCUUAUUCUGCUUCAACACAGUACUGUCACAGCUCUUGAUCAUUCCUUGCAACCCAAAGAGGAGCACAAACAACUCAAAGGUUUUUAGAUCAAUUAAUAUCUCUCUCUCUCUCUCUCUCUCUCUCUCUCUCUCUCUCUCUCUCUCUAUUUUAUCUUGGUUUUUUGUUUUCUUAUCUCUCUCUAUAUUUCUUGUUGUUAAUUUGCUAUGUUAUUAGUAUUGAGUUACUGAUUAAUUUGUUGCGCUUUCUUAGCUAAGUUUUCUUCUUUUUAAAAGCAGAAUUAGAAGCUCUAAUUUAAAAUUUUUGUUUCUUAUCAUUACAGAAGCACCAAACUGUUUGACAAAAGUUCUGCAACAAGAGAAUUUCAAACUAAAACUUUUGUAUUUGAAUAGCAGUGAGAAUUUUAGGCACAAACUUGAUAAGAUUAUCAAAGGGUGAAAUCGAUACAACAUAAAUUUGUUUAACUAGAAAAUCACAAAACUUGACACGACACGACACGACAAAAAAAUAAGUCAAAUCGGCACAAGUAACACGAUUAUCAAACACGAGUACGAUUUGCGACUCUGAAUUGAUUUUUUCGAAUAUUCAUAAACUUAUUUUAGCUUUCUGUCACAAUAGAAAGUUUGGAUUUUUUUUUUUUUUUUUGGUUAAAAUCCUCUAGUAAUGAUUGUUGCAGCUUUCUGUUGCAGUAGAAACUCUGUACUUUUCUGCGCGUCAAAUGCUUUACUAAAAACUGAGGUAGUGAGAUUUGGUUGUGCAGGUGAAGAUUUCAGUCCUUACCCUUUUCACCGCCGUCGCCGCCCCCGACCGCGGGGCGAGAUAUUCCACCCGCCGACCGGCCAGUGCGUGCUCCG